rnacentral:lncRNA from 1 species
GCUAUACUUCCCAUGGCACAAAGAAAACUUACUGAUGUCAAUGGGAAACCCUUUUGUUUAUCCCCAGGAAAACUCAUGAUGAUUCUGGCAAAAGAUGACCUUUGUUUUAUGGUAGUAUAUAUAUAGGUAUAUAGAGAUAUAUAUAUUUGGGAAAUAUAUAAUUUUUUCAAACAGGAAGUCAUUAGAACAAGUGGUGAGUGAAAUGCUGCAGAAUGUAUAUUCUACAACUAUGACAUACCGCUAAUUAUUGAAAUAGUCAAGCUUAUACAUUUAAUUGCUGUGACAAGUGACAGACUGGUAGUUCAGAAAAUCCUUGUCUAGUUUGUAAUUGGCUGAAUUCAUUGUCCUUGCCAUCAGGGCAAAGUACACAGCUUCAGUUUUUGAGAGUUCUUUGAAGUUUGGUAUUUCUUCAUCCACAGAAUCCAUUGUUGACGUAUCCAUUUUCAGUUAUGAUGCCUUAACUAAGAAGCUACUUGCUAGCCUGAAAGACAGUCUCAGUAGCCAGUUCCAUUGAAUACAGAGAAAACAUAAGCUGCUGAGCUUUAGCAUGGGCUUCUAAGUCCCGUUGUUUCUCCUUGGACACACUUUGUGGGUGGAUUAGUCUUUCAGUAUAGAAGCAAGCUGCUACCUGACAUUUUCUUGCCCUUAUAGGGAAAGUGAGCACAAGCUGAAUGAUAUUGUCUGCUAGGAAAAGAGAGAGCGAGCGAGAGAGAGAGACAGAGAGAGAGAGAGACAGAAAGACAGAGACAGAGAGAGAGAAGAAAGGAAAGGGGAGAAAGAAAAGAAAAGGAAAGAGAAACGGAAAAAAGAGAAGUAAAGAUAACAUAGAAACUGAAGAGAGACAGACUAGACCAAUCUUGUUGUGAAAUCCAUCUACUCCAUCAUCUCAUCAUUUCAGAGCUCCUCAGCCCGGGGGAGCGUACGGCUAGUUUUUUGUUGUUGUUGUUGUUUUUAAAGAAAAGAUCUAUCACAUACAUAUAUGCGUGUAUGUCUCCAUAUACUUACACAUGCAUACAUGCAUAUGUGUGUGUUUAUGUAUUUAACGGUGCUAAUCAAUCUUGAGCAGGUCACGUGACUGGUCAUGCGGACUCUAAAAUCAUAUCAGAUUUUUUAAAAAAUCCUUGAUAUAUGCAGAUAUUAUACAGAUUUUCUUACCGGUGUAAUAAUGUUCUACUGAAGAAUAACCAUCCUGCAGGCUUCAAAGGACGAGGUCAGCAAUAUUUCCCACCAUGGCUUGGGGGGAAAGGAUAGUUUUGUCUCCUUUUGUAUUCAAGUUGAUGCAUAGUGCAUUUUUGUGUCUAAGUAGCUGUUGACUAAAAGACUUUGUAGUGUAAAGGGUGUUAUACAAACUAUAAUGGUGUGCUUCAAACAAACCAAUGCUAGGCCCUUUCACUCUUGUUGUAUAUGACAAAGUUGUUAAAUAUGUGGUUUGAAAUAACUUUGAACAUGUGGAAAUAUGUAGCAUGUGUCUUUAACUCAGACAAAGAUUCUAAUUGCACAAGUUGUGUUCUAGCCAGUUGUGGUUUAUUUGUUCAGAAACACAAAUGUGAAUUGUACUCUUUAUCACCAGAAUAUUGUAUGAGUUCCGUGAUCUUUAAACAGCUCAGAAGUAAUACUUGAACUUCAUUUGAAUAGCACAAAGUUUACAGAGCCCCUUUUAAAUGUUAAUUAGUUCCAGUUAAGUUUUCCUUUAAUUUUUUCUUUUUUUUUUUUUUUUCUUUUUUCAAAUGCAACUGGGUAUUUUCUUGGAAAACAAUGUGUAGUUUAUUUUUGGUAUGUAGCAAAAGGCUUCCAAUUCUGGAAGGUUUUAUUGUUCUUAAACAAGGUCAGCCAGGUACCAGAUUCUAAAAAGAACAAUUGCCCCCCCCCUCAAGUGGCCUUCUGAUUGCACGAAUGUGCUACUCCCCUCUCCAAUCCCCCCUCCCUUGAGGAGGUCAGUGAAAGUGAUGGAGGAAGUGCAAGGCUUGCUCUCCCCUCCCCUCCCCUCCCCUCCCCCCCACACCUCACCUAGGAUGUCCACUCCAAUGCAAAUGGUUCCAUUGCACACACAGCACACCGCACACCGGGAAGUUUGUAUACUGGCCUCUUUUCCUGUCUUCAAAUGUGCAAGAAUUUGAAAGUGUCAUCUGGAAUAGGUUCCAUCUCUUAUGUGUGUUAGAGCAAACCAAAGAAGCCCCCAGCCAUGCCCAAAUGCUGCUCCAAAAGCCUGCCUUCCAGUCCUUACAAAAACCUUGCAGGAUUAAAUGUGUUAACUUUUUUAUUUUUGUACAGUUUCUAAGUGAUUUUUUGCUAGUGAUGUUAAACUGAAUUAAGUUUAUUUGAGGAGUGUGAGCACCUCCUCCAUUUAAAUAAACUGGUGACUUUCCUUUUCUUUUUUACAAGUGGAAACCCAUUGUGUGCCUCUCGAUUUAAGGGUUUCUGAUUACAUUUAUUCUUAAGACCAGCAUUGAUCCUUUAUAUACAAAGAUAUGUUUUCCUUGUUUUUUAUUACUGUUUCAGAAGAAAAUGAACCUUUUAUUUUGCUCCAGACCCAGUAACUGCGCUGGUACUUAGACGCACUG